GGUCAGGACGAACGCUGGCGGCGUGCCUAAUACAUGCAAGUCGAACGGUCUUUCUAUGGAAGCUUGCUUCCACUGAGAAGAUAGUGGCGAACGGGUGAGUAACACGUGGGUAACCUGCCCAUAAGAGGGGGAUAACAUCCGGAAACGGGUGCUAAUACCGCAUAGUUUUCUUGAUUGCAUGAUUGAGAAGGAAAGACGGCCUUUGUGCUGUCGCUUAUGGAUGGACCCGCGGCGUAUUAGUUAGUUGGUGAGGUAACGGCUCACCAAGACGAUGAUACGUAGCCGACCUGAGAGGGUGAUCGGCCACAUUGGGACUGAGACACGGCCCAAACUCCUACGGGAGGCAGCAGUAGGGAAUCUUCCGCAAUGGACGAAAGUCUGACGGAGCAACGCCGCGUGAGUGAAGAAAAGGUUUUCGGAUCGUAAAACUCUGUUGUCAGAGAAGAACAAGUUGGAGAGUAACUGCUCCAGCCUUGACGGUAUCUGACCAGAAAGCCACGGCUAACUACGUGCCAGCAGCCGC
rnacentral:rRNA from 1 species